ensembl:lncRNA
AGAAAGGUCUCCCUUCCUCCUAGAAGUGCUGAACUCCAAAACCAGAGAGAAGGAACCAGUCGCGCUGAAAGUCUGGUCAGAUGAAGAGAGUGAAGUGAGGAGUUUCCUUCAGUGUCUGYCCUACAUCUCACAGCUGAGGCUGAAUGUGGGUGUGGCAGUGAAACUGUCCAGACUGGUUAUGAGAAUAGAGAGAGGUGCUACUCCACUGACUGUCCCAGAACUCUCCUUGGUCCUAAAGAGCAGCCAGACACCAGAGAGAGUGUUAUCCAGGGCUCUGAGUAAUGUGGUGUCCCUGCUGAGACUCUGGAGGGUUCAGUGUCUGGACCUGACUGACCUCUGGAUCCAGGGUCACUCUCUCAUUGCACUGCUGUGUCACCAGGGACCUCUCUCUCUUAGACUAAACUCAGACACUCUGCAGCAGCUGACUGUAGUUGUGUAUGAAGCUCAGGACAAGGAGUUGACUCAGUGGUUCCUAGAGAAGGUUGGUGGAGACCUGACCUCCUGCAGGCUGGACUGGGAAGUGCUUCUCUCUCUGCUGCAGCAUUCAACCCACAACAUCACUGUGGACCUCAGGAAGAACCGGCUCCUAGAGAAGAACAGCUCACAUCUUCUCCCCUUUCUGGGAAGGGUUACUCUCAAGAGGUCCAGUUCCAGCUUUGUAAAGUCCWCCAUCAGACAGAUCUAUGACAGAGCCAGUGACUGUGUGUCCAGUUUGUUGAGUUCUUCAGACCAUUGGAUCAACCUGAACAGCAGAGAGCUGGACAGAGUGGACUGUACCGCUCUGUGUUUUACCCUGCAGCACAGCCACCAAGUCAAAAUCAACCUGCUGUGGACCUCCAUACCACCGGGGGAGAUAGAGAGCAUCCUGCCUCUUCUGGACAGAGUCUCCCAACUCAGUGUUGACAGGAGGUUACUGCUGAGUUUCCUCCAGUGCUGUGGUGCCUCUCAGAUCCAGCAGGGGGCGCCACCACUACCAACAGCAUUAUGGCUGCUGAGGUCUCUGCACUACAGACUGGACUUCUCCUGCUCCUCCUCUGUGGACCUGUCAGCUCAGGACCAGGGGGAGGCUCUGUGUCUGACUACUGACCACUGCAGGGCCAUCAACUCUGUUCUGAAGCAGAACCAACACAGCACCCAGUUGGUUCAGAACCAGGUCCAGCUCAUCCUAAGAGAAUGUGAGGUGGAGGACAGAUCACUGAGGGAGCUGCUUCCCAUCCUGCAUAUUGUCAAGCUGAGCCCCAGCAAAGCUCUGCUACUUCAGCUGCUGGACCUUGUGUGUGAGGGGAUUGAAGAGGGGCUGCUGAGGCAUGCAGAGUCCCUGUGCAGAGCCCUGGGUGGGGAGCUGGACCUCAGUGAGACCAGGCUGGACCAGAAGGCCUGUGGAUCUCUGGCCCUGGUUUUGGAACACUCAGAGGGUCUGUCAGAACUGGACCUCAGCCACUGUCAACUCACAGACCACCAGCUACAGCCUCUGAUCACACACUUGCAUAAAGUACAAAGUCCUGAGUGAGUGGCUUUCACUGUGUGUGUGGACUUGUUAACUAUACUUUUGGGGACCAACUGGGGCCAUAUUCUCUCUCCUCUCUCUCUUCUCUUCUCUCCUUCUCUCCCUCUCUCUCUCAGCCUGAGCCACAUGACAUCCUGAUGCUCUGACUGACAGAAUUACUUCAUACACACCAUCCGGUAGGGUGUGGUGAUAGCAGAGCAUAUGGGUGUGUAUGUUGCUGGGGGCAACUAUUAGAGGAUAAUGACAGUGCAGCAGUAUCUAACAGCUAAUAUCUAACAAUUCCACAACGAAACCUAAUACACACAGUCUUAUAAAGGAAUGGGAUAAGAAUAUAUAAGUAUACAAUAUAAGGAUGAGCAGUGACAGAGCGGCUAAGAUGCAAUAGAUAGUAAAGAAUAGAUAGUAAUAUAUUAUUUUAYAUAUUUAGUGAAAGAUACAGUAUAUACAUGUGAGAUAUGUAAACAUUCUUAAAGUGGCAUUAUUAAAGUGACUUCUGUUCCAUUUAUUAAAGAGGCCAAUGAUAUCAAGUCUGUAGGUAGGCAGCCACCUCUCUGUGCUAGUGGUGGUUGUUUAACAAUCUGAUGGCCCUGAGACAGGAGCUGUUUUUCAAUUUCUCUGUCCCAGCUUUGAUGCACCUAUACUGACCUCACCUUCUUGAUGAUAGCAGGGUGAACAGGCAGUGGCUCGGGUGGUUAUGGUCCUUGAUGAUCCUUUUUGCCUUCUUGUGACAUCGGGUGGUGUAGGUGUCCUGGAGGGCAGGAAGUUGCCCCCGGUGAUGCGUUGUGCAGACCUCACCAGACCAGACCUCUGGAGAGCCCUGGAGAUAUUAAAAGGUGAUUCAAGUAAUGCAGUAAAAUGGUURAGAAUGUUUUAAUGUU